UACAAAGUAAUAAGACCUCUUCUGGCAAUAGAACUUUCAGGUAUGUUUGUGGGUGACUAUGCUAUAGCUAGAGGAUUGCAGUGAACAUUGCUUUUGGUGCUUCUUAUUCAGAAGAGAGACACUUAAGAGAGUUCCAUAGUUUUCAAUACCGUGGAAAAAAGUUGUUGCUGUAGGAUUGCUGCCAUCACUAUGAGUACAAAAUAGUUUACUUUUUCAAUAAACUGAAACUAGAAUAAUUUAAGACUAUUGUGCUAUAAGAAAACAUGGCUUAGACAGAUUAUAGCCACUGCCACAGUGACAAUCAAGUUGCAUUUUGAUGCCAAUUCUGGAUGAAACAUUGUGCACAUUUUGUACUUAGAGGCAAACAGUCACCAGGACAAUAGAACUUACAAGAACUAUGGUUCUGUAAGAUGGUUUCCUUUCUCCAUAUUGCACCAGAACGUAGAAUAGUGUGAAUUACUGUUUUUACCAAAAACAAGUCUUUCAAAGUCUAAAUUUAAGCACUUCCCCUUCAAGCAUAAGCAGAACCAUUCCAACAGUGGUUUAUUGAUGUUAUUCCCCUCAAAAGAGAAAUGCUACUCCUCUCCUCUCCUCUGGCUUUGUCUUUGAAAAGAAAAAAAAGGAACUAGCAUCAAGUAUCAGUGUUGAGGUUUUGUGUUGUUGAGAUAUAUAACCUGGAUAGAGGGUCAUCAAAGCACCAUCUGUACAGGAACAUGUUCCUGAAAUCAUUUUGUGCAGGUUUAAGGACAGAGAAAGGUGCAGUGGAAAAAGCUACAACUCAGAACCCAGUGAUCCCCAGCAACUUCAGAUAUCUGUGUAGCUGAAUUCAGUUAAUGCCAAGAUUGUAAAGAUCAGAGAUCCAGAGAUUUCAAAGCUUCCAUUUUGUUGGAAAAGUGAACUGUUGCUCGGACUGUGAAGGAUCAAACCAAACAGGUAACAUGUCCAACAAGGUGCAGAGGAUGCUGGUUCUUCUACUGAUCGUCCUGAAGGAAACUGAACUGACUGCAGCCUGCAGCAGCAGCUGUUCAUCAGUCUGUGACUGCAGUGGGUUAGGCCUCAGCAGUGUUCCUCAGGACCUGCCUUCAAAUAUCACUACCCUUAGCCUGGCUAACAAUAACCUCUCAACAAUAGGGCAAUAUGACUUCUCCAGAUAUAUGAGUUUGGAAAUAUUAGAUCUCAAAGAGAAUCAUAUCUCCCUGAUUCACGACAGUGCAUUCCACAACUUGACUAUCUUAACUGAGAUGGACCUUCGUCAGAAUCAAUUGACAAUCCUAUCAGCUGAUAUUUUUGAGGCACUUGGUAACCUGAAGACCUUGUAUCUUUCCUAUAACAAAUUGACCAACCUUUCCACUGACACAUUUGAGGGAGUUCCUAACCUUCAGCAUUUGUCUAUUUACUCUAACC